ensembl:lncRNA
AGGAUAGACCAGCAUAGAAAAGAAAGAGAUACAGAGGACUCGGGCACAGCUGUCCAGAAGAGCUGUGGGUGCCCUAUCCCUGGAGGAGACGAUGGAAGUUCAGUCAGACCCCCGGUUGCUGUUGCUGGGAUACGGUCAGCAGGAAAACGCAGUAAAAGGAGAGGCUGGGUCUGAAGACUGGAGGACUAUCAAACGUGUGCAGAAAUGACCCUUGUCUUGUGCCUGGAUGUUCAGCCAGUGAGGACCUGAGCAAGAAGGGACAGUACUUGCAUAAAAAAUAUUACUUUGUUUUGGCAUUCAGCUUUAUCUGAACUAACAGUAGAUGAACGUAACCACUGCCCAGUCCCAGCUGUGUCAUUGGUCUUUUGGUGAUGGCAGUCAGCUGCCUCCCUCUACACCAGCAGAAGAGGAUUACACUUGGAG